rfam:Bacteroidales bacterium KA00251 genomic scaffold Scaffold528, whole genome shotgun sequence.
GGGUUCAUAGCUCAGCUGGUUUAGAGCAUCUGUCUUACAAACAGAGGGUCAUAGGUUCGAAUCCUAUUGGACCCA